UGUUUGACAAAGUAAUACUGGAGUAGGGUUUCUGCUCGAGAAUUCUCGAGCUCGAGAAGAUUCGGGAAAUUCGGCUUGGUUCGAGACGAGAAAAAAAUCUGAAGACUCGAGAAUUUCUCGAGCCUUGAGAUAAAAAUUAAGAACAUUCAAUUCGAUUUUUCCU